ensembl:snRNA U6 U6 spliceosomal RNA
GUGCUUUCUUCAGUAGCACAUAUACUAAAAUGGGAACAAUACAGAGAUUUAUAUGCUCCCUGAGCUAUGCACAUUUGUGAUUUGUUUGAUAUUCAA